UACGUAGGGUGCGAGCGUUGUCCGGAAUUAUUGGGCGUAAAGAGCUCGUAGGCGGUUUGUCGCGUCGGCCGUGAAAUCUCCACGCUUAACGUGGAGCGUGCGGUCGAUACGGGCAGACUUGAGUUCGGUAGGGGAGACUGGAAUUCCUGGCGUAGCGGUGAAAUGCGCAGAUAUCAGGAGGAACACCGGUGGCGAAGGCGGGUCUCUGGGCCGAUACUGACGCUGAGGAGCGAAAGCGUGGGGAGCGAACAGG
rnacentral:rRNA from 1 species